UGCAUUUAGAUCUAUGUGAGGCGCACUUGUCAAGAACUUUCUCUGUGACCCGCGUGUACUUAAAAGCCGCAUCACAGUCUGAGUUCUUGCUGAGUGCGAAAUCCUCGAAGCAACAUUAAGC
rnacentral:pre_miRNA from 15 species